ensembl:lncRNA
ACUAGCUGACAUGACAGGAAGGGUGGAACAGAUUGAGAACAUUUUGGGACCUAUCUAAGUUGAGGAAGAAACGCAGGGUCAGCCAACCUCUGAUGGCCCCGCCGUCAGUCACGGACCACUGCAACACAGGCAUGUACUACUACUGCUGUCCUCCAUCACAUCGGCGGAUAUCGACAACAACAGACAGUGGAACUUUGGAUAAACAACACUGCAACAGCUAGAAGGAAAUGAUGUCAGUCCAUGGUUCUUUAAACAAGCUAUUGGUCUUCGGUCAGGACUGUAUCAGAGAAUUAUGGGGGCUAAUGGUGUCAGUCUGUCCAUAUAUGAGCAUCAGGUUCCCACGAAACGUUACAGUAUAUAACGGUAUACACCUUUUAGAAAUGUGCUAAAUACAUAUAUUGUAUUAAUUAAUUUUCAGCAACUCUGCUUCAGCUAACACAUUUGAAAUUUGUUUUUGGAAGUUUCUUUGAAGUAUAUUGAGAAAUUGAAAUCAUGUUCAGUAGGGACCAGUCAGUGAGGGGCAGUGCUUUUAAGAUUGUUUUAUUUUAACUGAUUUUAGAAAUGUUAUACUAUAUGAUCAUUUCCAAUCUGGUAGAAAUAUGUCAUUUGUUUUUUGUGCCCGCCAUAUAAGGUAUUUUUGUUAGGUUGUGUCAGUGCAAAAUGUUGAACGCUAUAAUGUGAGGAAAAUGUACACCCCCAUGUGUGCUGUGUACGUCAGAAUAAAAAAACGAAUGUACUGAAUAUGUGACAAUCAAGACCAGGAGAGGAAGUUAUUUUGCACAGUGCCUUUAUCCAUUGAACUACUUGAUGAAUAUUAAAUGGAAGUUCAGUAUUUUACAAGUUGUUAGAUUGUUUCUCCCUCUGAAAGUAGUCUAGACCAGAAUAAACAGUACUCCAUGGUUCAGUUUCCUUAACAGCCUCUAAAAACCUAAUGAGAGGUCAAAGGAAAAUGGCAAGAAUAGUGCAAGUUAACAGGCGGGACACAAACAGACAAAUAACAGCACAGUACAACAGUGGUGUGCAGAACGGCAUCUCGGAAUGCACAACUCGUCGGUCCUUGUCACGGAUGGUCUAUUGGUCGACCACACCAGGUUCCACUCAUAUCAGCUAAAAGCAAAAAGAAGUGGCGCCAGUGGGCACGCGAUCACCAACACUGGACAAUUGAGGGGUGGAAAAAUAUUGCCUCGUCUGAUGAAUCCCGGUUCCUCUUGCCUCACGUUAAGUUAGGAUUUGGUGUAUGCAGCAGGAGUCCAUGGCCCCUUCGUGCCUGGUGUCAACGGAAUAGGCUGGUUGCAGUGGUGUAAUGGUGUGGGGAAUGUUUUCCUGGCACACGUUAGGUCCCUUAAUCACAAUUGAACAAAGUUUGAAAGCCACACCUUGUAGAAUCCAUGCCCAAAGAAUUCAGGCUGUCUGGAGGCAAAGGGGGGGUAUGACCCGGUACUAGAUGGGUGUACC